rnacentral:rRNA from 1 species
CUGACGAGUCCUUUACUGACGCUAAAGCUCGAAGGUGCGGGUAUCGAACAGGAUUAGAUACCCUGGUAGUCCGCACGGUAAACGAUGGAUGCCCGCUGUUUGCGAUAUAUUGUAAGCGGCCAAGCGAAAGCGUUAAGCAUCCCACCUGGGGAGUACGCCGGCAACGGUGAAACUCAAAGGAAUUGACGGGGGCCCGCACAAGCGGAGGAACAUGUGGUUUAAUUCGAUGAUACGCGAGGAACCUUACCCGGGCUUGAACUGCAGGAGAACGAUCCAGAGAUGGUGAGGCCCUUCGGGGCUCCUGUGGAGGUGCUGCAUGGUUGUCGUCAGCUCGUGCCGUGAGGUGUCGGCUUAAGUGCCAUAACGAGCGCAACCCCUUUCGCCAGUUGCCAUCAGGUGAUGCUGGGCACUCCGGCGACACUGCCACCGUAAGGUGUGAGGAAGGUGGGGAUGACGUCAAAUCAGCACGGCCCUUACGUCCGGGGCUACACACGUGUUACAAUGGGUGGUACAGAGAGCAGGGUGCACGCAAGUUCACCCGAAUCAAGAAAGCCAUCCUCAGUUCGGAUUGGGGUCUGCAACCCAACCCCAUGAAGCUGGA